AUCGGAGUGUUGGAAUUGGUAGACAUAUGGCACUUAAAAUGCUAUGUCCGUAUGGACGUAAGGGUUCGAGUCCCUUCUCCGAUA
rnacentral:tRNA from 1 species